UACGAAGGGUGCAAGCGUUACUCGGAAUUACUGGGCGUAAAGCGUGCGUACGUGGUUGUUUAAGUCCGUUGUGAAAGCCCUGGGCUCAACCUGGGAAUUGCAGUGGAUACUGGGCAACUAGAGUGUGGUAGAGGAUGGCGGAAUUCCCGGUGUAGCAGUGAAAUGCGUAGAGAUCGGGAGGAACAUCUGUGGCGAAGGCGGCCAUCUGGACCAACACUGACACUGAGGCACGAAAGCGUGGGGAGCAAACAGG
rnacentral:rRNA from 1 species